UUUACUAGUGGCGGACGGGUGAGUAACGCGUGGGUAACCUGCCUUAUACAGGGGGAUAACAGUCAGAAAUGGCUGCUAAUACCGCAUAAGCGCACAGAGCUGCAUGGCUCGGUGUGAAAAACUCCGGUGGUAUAAGAUGGACCCGCGUUGGAUUAGCUUGUUGGUGGGGUAACGGCCCACCAAGCCUUCGAUGGAUAGGGGUUCUGAGAGGAAGGUCCCCCACAUUGGAACUGAGACACGGUCCAAACUCCUACGGGAGGCAGCAUG
rnacentral:rRNA from 1 species